CCAGCCAUGGCAGUUUCUUCAGCAACAGCUUCCUCCAAACUCAUACUAUUCCCCCAUGCAUCAUCAUCCUCUUCCCUUAAUUCCACACCCUUCCGCUCCUCCACCACCAACACCCACAAACUAACCCCUCUCUCCUCCUCCUUCCUCCACCCCACCACCGUCCUCCGCCGCACCCCUUCUUCCACCACCACCCCGCGUCGCACCUUCACCGUCCGCGCCGCCCGCGGCAAAUUCGAGCGCAAGAAGCCCCACGUGAACAUCGGCACCAUCGGCCACGUCGACCACGGCAAGACCACCCUUACCGCCGC
rnacentral:lncRNA from 1 species